CCUACGGGAGGCAGCAGUGAGGAAUAUUGGUCAAUGGGCUCACGCCUGAACCAGCCAAGUCGCGUGAGGGAUGACUGUCCUACGGGUUGUAAACCUCUUUUGCCAGGGAGCAAGCGUGCCUACGUGAACGCGCGUCGAGAGUACCCGAAGAAAAAGCAUCGGCUAACUCCGUGCCAGCAGCCGCGGUAAUACGGAGGAUGCGAGCGUUAUCCGGAUUUAUUGGGUUUAAAGGGUGCGUAGGCGGGAUGCCAAGUCAGCGGUAAAAGUGCGGGGCUCAACGCCGUUGAGCCGUUGAAACUGGCGUUGUUGAGUGGGCGAGAAGUAUGCGGAAUGCGUGGUGUAGCGGUGAAAUGCAUAGAUAUCACGCAGAACUCCGAUUGCGAAGGCAGCAUACCGGCGCCCUACUGACGCUGAGGCACGAAAGCGUGGGUAUCGAACAGGAUUAGAUACCCGGGUAGUC
rnacentral:rRNA from 1 species